rnacentral:lncRNA from 1 species
UAUACAGUGGCAUCUGUCAUAAGGACUUUUCGACAGGAAAACAGGAUUGAGGGUCGGGAACGACAAGGAGGAAGGGGGCCCAUAUUCACGCAAGAACAAGAGAGAGAGAUAAUAAACAUGGUUUUGGCCAAUAAUGCUAUCAGGCUCAGAGAACUACAAGCCAACAUUAUCGGUGACCAUGCCAUUUUCAAUAAUGUCCAUCAGGUCUCUCAGUCAACACUGGCACGCAUCCUGAAAAGACAUCAGGUUCAAAUGAAACAACUUUAUAGAGUGCCUUUUGAGCGGAAUUCAGAGAGGGUCAAACGGCUGCGGCAUGAGUAUGUGGAGCAUGGGGUUCUCCUCCGUCAUGCCAAAAUGGGCCCUUACAACACACCUCACAUUCUCGCAUUUUUGGACCGAUUGCAACACAUCGUCACAGCAGGUAAUGAAAUGCACCAGAUGCAAUACACUGUCAUCUGGGACAAUGUGUCAUUCCACCGCUCUGCUUUGGUCCAGAACUGGUUUCAACACCAUCCACAGUUGACAGUACUAUACCUUCCACCAUACUCUCCGUUUCUAAACCCUAUCGAAGAGUUUUUCUCUGCAUGGCGGUGGAAGGUUUACGAUCUCCAGCCCAGGCUCAGGUACCCCUCAUUCAGGCAUUGGAGGACGCCUGUGACCAAGUCGACGCCGCAGCUGUGCAAGGAUGGAUUCGACAUUCAAGACGGUUUUUCCCACGUUGUCUUGCUAAUGAGGAUAUUGCUUGUGAUGUUGAUGAAAUUCUCUGGCCAGAUCCAGCUAGGCGAAGAGAUAA